rnacentral:rRNA from 1 species
GACGAACGCUGGCGGCGUGCUUAACACAUGCCAGUCGAACGCUAAGGCCUGCAGCUUGCUCCGGGUAGUCGAGUGGCGAACGGGUGAGUAAUACGUGAGUGAUCUGCCCUGCACUCCGGGAUAAGCUUGGGAAACUGGGUCUAAUACCGGAUAUGACAGGCGUUUAGUUUCUGUUGUGUGAAGAUUGUUUGGUUCAGGAUGAGCUAGCGGCCUAUCAGCUUGUUGGUGGGGUAAUGGCCUACCAAGGCGUCGACGGGUAGCCGGCCUGAGAGGGUGUACGGCCACACUGGGACUGAGACACGGCCCAGACUCCUACGGGAGGCAGCAGUGGGGAAUAUUGCACAAUGGGCGGAAGCCUGAUGCAGCGACGCCGCGUGAGGGAUGAAGGCCUUCGGGUUGUAAACUUCUUUCAACAGGGAAGAAGCGUGUGUGACGGUACCUGUAUAAGAAGCGCCGGCUAACUACGUG